ACCUGGGAUAGCUCAGUUGGGAGAACAUGAGACUUAAUCUCAGGGUUGUGGGUUUGAGCCCAACAUUGGGGA